rnacentral:rRNA from 1 species
UAGGGAAUCUUCGGCAAUGGACGGAAGUCUGACCGAGCAACGCCGCGUGAGUGAAGAAGGUUUUCGGAUCGUAAAGCUCUGUUGUUAGAGAAGAAUGAUGGUGGGAGUGGAAAAUCCACCAUGUGACAGUAACUAACCAGAAAGGGACGGCUAACUACGUGCCAGCAGCCGCGGUAAUACGUAGGUCCCGAGCGUUGUCCGGAUUUAUUGGGCGUAAAGCGAGCGCAGGCGGUUCUUUAAGUCUGAAGUUAAAGGCAGUGGCUCAACCAUUGUACGCUUUGGAAACUGGAGAACUUGAGUGCAGAAGGGGAGAGUGGAAUUCCAUGUGUAGCGGUGAAAUGCGUAGAUAUAUGGAGGAACACCGGUGGCGAAAGCGGCUCUCUGGUCUGUAACUGACGCUGAGGCUCGAAAGCGUGGGGAGCAAACAGGAUUAGAUACCCUGGUAGUCCACGCCGUAAACGAUGAGUGCUAGGUGUUAGGCCCUUUCCGGGGCUUAGUGCCGGAGCUAACGCAUUAAGCACUCCGCCUGGGGAGUACGACCGCAAGGUUG